CAUGUCUUUUUGAUUAUAAUUUUAAGUCUGAUCUGCUCAAUGAGGAUUUAAAUUGCCGCAGUAUUUUGACUGUGCAAAGGUAGCAUAGUAAUUAGUUUCUUAAUUAGAAGCUUGAAUGAAUGAUUUGACAAGAGAUUGGCUGUCUCUUUUUAAUUUUUGUAGAAUUUUAUUUUUAAGUUAAAAAGCUUAAAUUUUUUUAAAAGACGAGAAGACCCUAUAGAGUUUAAUAUUAGGUUUGUUAAUUAUAUAGAAAUGAUAAUUAUUUUUAUAUAUUUAGUUGGGGUGAUUGGAAGAUAAAUUUAAUUCUUUUAAAAAUGAAUUGAAGGUUAUUAAUUUAGUAGUCUUAUUUUUUAAAGAUUAAAAUAAAUUACCUUAGGGAUAACAGCGUUAUUUUUUUUUAAAGUUCUUAUAUAAAAAAAAGUUUGCGACCUCGAUGUUGGAUUAAAAUUAAUUUUUGGUGAAGAAGCUUAAGGAUUAGGUCUGUUCGACCUUUGAAAUUUUACAUGAUCUGAGUUUAAACCGGUGUGACCCAGGUUGGAUUCUAUCUUUAAUUAUUUAUAGUAUUUUAGUACGAAAGGACCAAAUAUUAGUUAUAUAUUAAUUA
rnacentral:rRNA from 1 species